GGGAGGAAACAAGUGAAUCGGGCGGAUUUUCAACACUCAAUUUCAACGACAUCAGUGUUAACCUCAAUAAUGAUAAUAAUAAAAGUAAACAAUUGAUUCGCUGUGAAUGAGAAAAUUGCAUUUUUUUUACUGUGAGUGAAUAUAAAAAAAAAGAUGAGACGACGAAGGAAAAAAUAAAUUAUAUUUUGCAAAAAAAAAUCAUUGGAAAAAAAAAACAAAUAUAAAAUGAACUGCUAUUAUUCGAAGUAGCAAAAAAAGGUAUGCAACCAAGUAAGUCGAAUGGGAAAUUAAAUCAUGGUAGAUCGUGGAUUGAUUCUACUUCGAUCAUCAGCUACUAUCAACUUGUUAUAUUUAAAAUUAAAUUAUAUAAGUGUAUAAAACAAAUUGUACGAAAGUAACUGUAUUUGAUUAAAACUGAUUAGAGAUUCAAUUCUUAUGCAUGAA